GGAGGGGGCAGGAUUGAUCAGUAUGCCAACAGCUAUUUAAUAUGCAGGCAGCCACCUAAUGACGCAGCAGGGAAGUAACCUGCCUAGAGAGCAAGAGGCUGUUGGUCCAAAUCCCCACUGGUGUGUUUCCCAGACUAUGGAAAGCACCUAUAUCAGAUAGCAGCGAUAUAGGAAGGUGCUGAAAGGCAUCAUCUCAUACCGUACUGCGUGGGAGACGGCAAUGGCAAACCUCUCUUGUAUUCUACCAAGAAAAUAACAUGGCUCUGUGGUCGCCAGGAGUCGACACCGAUUCAACUAGCACAACUUUUCCUUUUUUUCCCCUUUAGCCCAUGAUGACGGGCUAGUAGGAAGAGUGUGGAGUCUUCAGCAGAGAGAGAGGGUGGCCACAGUGACCCCCGCAAAGCCUGGAGUAGGAGGAACUGGUUGAUGGUGCGCCCUCUCCCCUCUGAAUUCUGAGGCCUCACUGCAAGGGUGUAAGGUGCACAGAAGCCCAGGUUCAGCACUCUUUUUGUUUCAUCAGGACAACAGGAUUAUUAUUGCUAUUGGAUACAUACCUGAAAUGAUCUAUGUAUUUAUUAUUUGUUUUAAACUCUGUAUUUGAUAUUUGAUCAAAAUAAACAUUUAUUGAUUGA